GGCCGAUUCCUUAUGAUGAACUCAAAAAGCUCGGGAUCCCACCACCACCUGAGGGACGGUAUAUGACACGUUUUGAGGUAUUUUUUUUACUUUGCCACUCUUACCUUGUACUCCCUCCGUUCCGAAUUACUCGUCGCAGAAAUGGAUGUAUCUAGAUGUAUUUUAGUUCUAGAUACAUCCAUUUCUGCGACGAGUAAUUUGGAACGGAGGGAGUACUUCUGAAGGGGGAUGUUGUUUAAUUUUACGAGGUAUUACCACUAAAAUGUUCUAAGAUUAACCCUGUUAGAAAUGUGAACAUGUCAAUUUAAUCUUUAAAUGGUAAAAGAUGCAAAGAGCAAAUUCAUGAUAUUUCCAGAGAAAACAUUUAUGCAUAAAAAUUACAAAGAGAGAGUAAAACUGUUAUUAUCUUGAAAUAUUAAGAAGAAAGGGGUAAUACUUCUUGUAUGUACUUUUAGCCCACAUAUUCACCCAUUGUUGUCAUUAUUGAACCUACAUGAGGACAUAAGGAGAACUGGAAAGUUAACCAUUGCAUUUGUUUGUUCUCACAAAGCAGACUGGAUUUUUAUUCACUCUGCUGUGCUAUGAUAUGCCUUACAUUUACAUUCAUGUGUGCUGUAAUUGGGGUAUGGUUUAGUUAUUCCAUGCCUGCUUACUGCCAUGGAGUGGAGUGGAAUAACGCUGUCAACUCCCACCAUCACAGGUUCCCCCACCACCUAGACGAAAAGGAGGCAAUGUUGACAGGGAAGAGUCGCCACCUCCUAGGAGAAUAUCCAAGGACAGGGCUGAUAGCACCUACAGAAGGCAGAGAAGUCCAACUGAAGACGAAAGCAGCCCACGCAGGCGCAAAAGCAGCCAUGACCACAGGGAAGAAUCGCAAAGGAGGAUGAGGUCAUCUAGGGAGGCAAGCACCUACAGCAGGCAGAGAAGCCCAACUGGAGACGGCGGUGACCAUCACAAGCAAAAAGGCCACCGAGAGCAGGGCGAUAUCAGCAGCUAUGAUAGGCAUGUAAGCCCAGCCGAAGACGACGGCGGUCAUCACCGCAAGCGAAGAAGAAGCCGAGAGCCUGGAGAUAUCAGGAGGAGCCACAGUAGGCGGAGAAGCCCAACUGAAGACGAUGCCGGUCGCCGCAAGCGAAGAAAAAGCCGAGAGCUUGGAGAUACCAGCAGCCACAGCAGGCAUAGAAGCCGAGCCGAAUACGACGGCCGCGGUCAUCACAAGCGGAGGAAGAGCCGAGAGCCAGGAGAGGUGUCGCCUGGCACGGAGGAUGGCAGUGCCAGAAGAGGUGGAACCUCUGCUGAAGCAGACCACAGCCCUCGUCAUCGAUCUCAUCGGGAGCAGAGGCAUCAUGGCGGCAGCAGCCGUUCCCGCCACGGCGACCGUGCUCGCUCCAGGAGAUCCGAGAGCCGAGAUUAUAGUCAGUAGAUGUCUGUCAUUUCCGCGGUGUGAGAAACAAAUGGAUCCCUCGCCUAUGUGCUGCUCGCUUGAUUUGAUGAGGUUCGUCGCCGCCAUGUGUAGGCUCUGUUCCGUUGCCGGGUGUUUGUCUUGCCAGGCGACACCGCCCGCCGUAUGUGUUGGAUCCACGGUUCCUGAGCAGCUGGGAUAGUUCUAAUUCUAGCUCUGGUAAUUCAGAUUGGAUCCCUGGCUGUAAGUAUAGCUUGCAAUUUUAUGAAACGAUCUUGGUAUAGACGUUGCUUGAAUAAUUUUGAUUUGAUGACCCUGACUACAGUGUGGUACUAGCAUUUGUUCCGAUUAA
rnacentral:lncRNA from 1 species